UACGAAGGGGGCUAGCGUUGCUCGGAAUCACUGGGCGUAAAGGGCGCGUAGGCGGAUCUUUAAGUCGGGGGUGAAAGCCCAGGGCUCAACCCUGGAAUUGCCUUCGAUACUGAAGAUCUCGAGACCGGAAGAGGUAAGUGGAACUGCGAGUGUAGAGGUGAAAUUCGUAGAUAUUCGCAAGAACACCAGUGGCGAAGGCGGCUUACUGGUCCGGUACUGACGCUGAGGCGCGAAAGCGUGGGGAGCAAACAGG
rnacentral:rRNA from 1 species